ensembl:lncRNA
CGGAGCGCCGCGGCUCUGGGGCUGCGCCGGGGCUGAGGGAGCCGCGCGGGCAGCCCGGAGAAGAGGGGCAGCGGAAAGAGCUCGUGGAUGCAAACACGAGUCUGCAAACUUCAUUAGUAACACAGACACACACGCACAGGCACACAAAGUGGAUGGCUAGGGAAAAUUAAAAAAAAAAAAAAAAAAAAAAAAAAAAAAAAGGAGGGGGCAGACUUGCUCUUUUAACUGUUCGGGAACUUAAAAGCAACGGGUCCAAAUUAAUUAUUCCGUCAGGGAGAUAUUUCUUUCUGGCUGGCUGUUUGUCUUUCUGCCUGCCUUUCUCUUUCCCUCUCUUUUAAUGGGGAUUUAAUGAAAAAUAUAUGUUUGCAAUGGGGUAAUGAACGUACAAUGCAACACCUCUGUAAAAGGAAAGAUACUAUAUCUGAGAUAGGGGGUAUCUGCCCAUACCGAGAUAAAGAGGAAUUUAUUUACAAGCACACGCGCACGCAUGCACGCACCCCGCAUCAUAUUUACACACAUAUACAUACAGCCUGCAUGCACCCAGCGCACAAAGCACAGCGCACUUUAUUUGGUGGCCGCCAUGUAAUUGCUUGGAGAGAUCAACAAAGUAAAAAGCAAAGCCUUCCGGAAUAUACGUCAACUGUAAACAGCCUCAUCAAAAUGAAGUAAAUAGCAGCCCAGGGAAGGGGGCUCUUUGCAUGCGAUACAUGUGUCAUGCAUAUAACAUGCAUCGUCUUCCACUUUCCCUACAAGUAUUGAUAUUUUAUUAAUAUUUCAUCUCCUAUAUUUUACUAGACACCUUUCCUUCUUCUUCCUUUUUUUUUUUCUUUUUUUUUUUCUUUUUUUCUUUUUUUGGUGUGUGGGGGGGAUUAUUAUGAUGAGAACUGGGGUGAAACGUACAGAUGUCAUUAUAAAUCGGAAUCUUCUACAAAUAUUUUCUUGCGUGGGAUUUAAGAAGAUUGCUUCUCAUUUGAAAAUCUAAUUAUCUUAACCUAAUACUGCAGAUGUGAAUAUGACUGACACUUUCAUUAAAAGAUAAUUAACUAAAACUAGGAAUAGACAUACUUUAAAAUACCCCCUACCGAAGAUAAAAACAUGACUAUUCAAAGAGCAUCCGAACGCACCGCAGGAACACGUGCGGCUUUUCGAUAAUGCUAUUCCAGCCAUGGGUAGACCAGUACUGGUCACUAAGCCUCAGCUACACGCCAGGGAUAUUUACAGCAGUGAGGACCCCGCGCAGGUGAACCAUAACCUCAGCACUGACAUGCCUUUGAAGUUCGCCAUUCCUGAGCCACACGUCAAAAGGUUCUCGUAGGCCUUAAGCGCCAGAAGCCAGCAGGAAGGUUUGAUCGCAGUCUUCCAUUAAGGGCACGCACCCACAACAAGGAACCAGCCCAAAUCCAGGUGGCAGAAAGCUGCACCUCUCCUGGCCCUGAACCCCCUGUGCCAGAGGAAGGGUUUGCGAGUGCUGGAACAACUCUAAGAGGAAAAUCCCCACCUGAUGAUGAAUGAAGGCUGCCCCAAAGGAAGCACAGGCCAGUGUCAGGGAACUGAGCUGCUAAAAGCAGAUGUUUAAGGUCAGAGUGAAGGUCCUGAUAGUUUUGGAGGGGGGGGGGAUAGGGUCUUUGGAAAGGGAAGGAAAAAAAAGACAUAAAAAAUGGGCAGCCUGAAAGUGCGGCUGCUCCAGGGCCAGAGCCAACAGAUCAGGGAGCGUAGAGCAGCCCUACGCCGACCCACAGAAACCUCACCUCAAACUUCAGGGAAGCCUCCAACUUCGGGAACAAUCAGGGGCACCUGAGGGUUCUGAAGAGGAACUUUAUUCCUUUUUCAGACCUCACCUAAGGCACCACACCAGCUCAUCAGUGACCAAAAAUCAGAGAGCACAUGUACACAGCUCUGCAUAAGCCCCGCUCCCUUUGAAGGCAGCAAGGCAACCAGCGGUAUUCUGCAUCCUUGUUUACAGGGUGGGAAAAAAAAAUGCAAACAAAGAGGGAAAAUGAAAUCUCUGCCACUGGCUCCUACUUAUCAGUUGGAGGGGGUAUGAUGGAAAGGGGCUUUUAGGCUUAAAUUGUAGACGGAACGGGACUGUGAGAUAGAAGGAUGCAUUGUCCAUUCAAGCGCAUGCCUGAAGGAUGGCAACACAUUUCCUAAGACUGGAGACAAUUAAAUACAAUGUGAUGAAGAAACACCUGAGAACAAUACAUCUAUUUCAAAUUCAAGCGAAGAAACACGUAUACUUAAUGUCACAGAAGAAUAAGGAAACGAAGAUAAUUUAGUUUUAAAGUCGUCCCCCCGCACCUCCCCCACCACCUCCUUUAUUCCUGGUGCUUUUUUCCUGGUGAAACAUCAAUAUCAUUAAUGUCAUUAAUGUCAAAACACCAAACGUCAGAACAGUCAAGUCAUUCUUUUUGGGCUGCAGAUUUUUUUUCCCUUUCUCUCUUCUUGGAGGGGGUUAUAGGUUUAUGGUGUUCUUGAGUUACAGCUGAAGGAACAAAGGGGGGGGGGGGUGGGGGGGAGGACACAGGCAGGAAUUGCGAGAGGAGAGUCCACAUUUUUCAGGGUUUCUUCUGUCACUGUUUACUGUCCUUCCCAACGUUUCAAAUCUCCUCUCUCUUUCUCUCUCUUUCCCUUUCUCUCUCCCUAAAAAUAGUAAGCUAUCGGAGGGGGGGGGGGGGGUUAUGGGGGGAGAGGGGAAAAAAAAAAAAAAAGGCACUACGGGAUGUUAACAGUUUAGAAGAAACCCGGGGAUCGCCACGUAGCUAGGAAAAAUCGAAGAAGGUUAAUUCCGGGAGGCAGCAGCAGCAGGAUAUGGAAAAAAUGAAGGCACUGAUACUGGUCAUUGGUAUUUCUGAGAAUAUUGGAUGUUUUAGAACAAAAAAUAUAUUCAACAACACUUGAAGAUUAAGAAAAUAUUAGAUGCGAAUAAGGUAUAGAGUCCUAAAUAAAAAUGUGCCUGAUCCAAAUAGGAAGCAAUAUGCAGGAUAACUUAAAGAAAAAAAGAAAAAGUGAACUCACUGUAUUGCUGGUCACUUCCAUGUGGGAAUAAACCGUUCAACAUGGAGUAGUAUAGGUACCUUUUUAAUGCUGAAAUGGGCAUGCUAAUUGUGAACUAUGCGGUCAGAAGCUCCUUCUAAAAUAUUCAGUAACUUAUUUACUGGAAUUUAACAAGCUGUGUACUUCAAAGCUUCUUUCACCUCUAAUUAAGUGCAUAAACUCUGUGAAUCGUAUUGGCAACUUGAGAUUUGGCACAGCAGCAGCAGUGCUGAAGCAGCCCCCACCGCUAGGAAAGGUACAAACACAGGCAAGUGACCUGUGAUGGGCUGAGAGACCUCGCUUACCAGGAUUUGCUCACGGUUAUGCUUCUGGCAACUGACAUUUCCAUUUUACUCAAAGCUUCUACCUUUGUGUCAUCAGACAAAGCCCCAUGAGUGGUGGCAGAGCAAACUGUAGCCUUCAUUCUCAAGUUUGAAGAGGAAAAGUUAUUUACAUGCCUAAAUCGCAGAACAUGAUGUUCAAAGGUCACUUUCUGUUACUCAUUGUUAUAAACCACUAAGUUUUCCAAAAGCUCUAUAAGGAAAAGGCACAUAGUUUGGGCAGAAACAUGUAAUUGGUUGUUUUCUUCUUUUAUUUUCUUUUCUUAUUGUAUGAUCUGAUUUUUGUACUACCAGAGGAAUGUCGAAGAUGAGAUGUUUCUGUCGUUCCGUACCAUGAACAAUUGCUUAAAGGGACCAUCAGAGACUGCAAGACAAAUCUAUGACCCUCCUUAAGAUUUUUAUGUUCUGAAGAGGAAUGACUUUUAAUUGGUUAGGAUUUUAGAGUUUAUGAUGUAAGGAAAAGUACUGAUUCCUGUAAUGACUGAUCCUUUACUGUUUUUAUUAGACUUUCAACUGAGCAUUUCUUAAACUUUCUUCUUAUGAAUUUAGACAAAUAUUUAAUUGUUUUAUUGCUGUAAUGCCAUUUCCCCCCACCCCAUUUUAGACAUAUUUUCCUGAAUGUGAGCCUGAAUUUAGUGACAAGCAGUCUGAUUUCCAGAAAUGUAUUGUUAUCAGUAAAAGUACUCCAUACCAAAAUGUGUGAAUGGAGAUGUUAAGAGAAAGCACAAAUAAUGCCUUUAUUCAUUACGAGAUGAAGCCCUGAGAAGUCAAGGUUAUUUAAUGGAAAUGAAUAAAUGCAGCUUGAAAUAUCUUUAUUUUCCAAACUGCAAGAGCAACUCAAACAAUAAGGAUAGCAUAUAAAGAAACAAACAACAAAGUCAGUUGAUUUCCUUAAAAAAUAUUUGGAACUUAAAAAAAAAAAAGAGGGAAAGCCGUCAUUUGACAUGGUGAUUAGGGUAGACUGAAGGACUCGGCUCAGAGGCUGCUUAUGCUGCUAUUGCACAGCAAAACUGUGUAGGGCAUUUAAUCUCUCUUAGUUUUCCUGUUUGUAAGUAACAAGCUGAUAAUGCUCACUUCAGUCUAGUGUUGUGCAAUAUUCAGAUGUUUCACAAUACAAUAGAAAAGUGUGUCACAGUGUACUUAAAAGUUGCCUGUUAAACUUCAUGUUUUUGAGAUGAAAGAAAAUUUCUGCUAUGCAUCUUGAAAGAGCUCAUUCCUUAAGGUGGUGGUGGCAGCUUUAAGCUUUUCUGAGAUAUAUUUUAUUUUUGUUUGUUUUUUUAACUGCUUAAUGGGCUAAUUUUUGGUAUCAUCUCUGGAAUAUGUAUGUCUCCUAUGACUGAAAGGAAGGAUGGUUGAUGCAAAUGAAAAAAGUCUCUUUUAGGAGAUCCUGUGAUCAGUAGAAUUCUGUCACCAUCACAAAAACAUACUUAGCAUGGCAUAUAUUUCUCAUUUCAGCUAAUAAACCUAACAUCUUUGUCUGGACAACAUCUCAAGCCUCUUUGCUAAAUGAUAUUACUGGAAGACUCCUUAUCAUUAAAGGAAUUGAGAUGGAGUCAGAUAAUAUGUAAAUUACAUAGCUUUUUCCCAUAAAUAAGCAAAUUGAUGUUUCCCAGUGUAGUAAAACACUUCUUAUUGGUACUGAUAAUACCACAGUCUUGAAGAGGUUAUCUAAAAAAGAUAAACUGAGAAAAAUUGGAUGCAACAUAUUUUCAAGUGGACAUCUACAUAAAUGUCUUCAGAUCAGGACUGUGUUUCUGAAGUUACUCUCCUGAUUAUCUCCACUUACUGUGCUAUGUUUAACACAGUGUUAAUGUCUUCUCAUGGGCAAGAACUAGCUUUCUUUUGGAGAACACUAAGCUGAGAUAUAUUGUCUGGAUACUGACGUCAGUACUCCAUUCUCAAACAGAUAUUAGGUUCAUGGAACCAUAUGAAGUGAUCCUGAAGUGAGGGCAGUAGGACUUCAACACUAAUUCUAAAGAGCCUGGUCAUAUUCUGUUUGUUACACUACUUGUUAUUCCUAAACACAUUUCUCAGAUCUGUAGGAAAUGGUCAUGGGCUCUUUCUGAGAAAGGCUUGAGCAGAGGUAGAUACCACCAAGCUAGAGUUAUUUAGAAAGAAACAAUUCUUUCCCCUUGGUUUGUACUUGAGCAACAAGGACAGUGCCCAGAAUAUUUUGCAUUGUAUUUCUAGCAUAACCUAAAUUUUUCUUCCGCAAUAUGGGCAUAUUAGCCACCCACAUUUCAAUUAUCUGGGACUACAGGUACAAUAGCUUAUUUGCUGUAGAUUGUCUCAUAUUCUAUAAAUAGAGAAAGAGAAUAUUUCUUGACAGAACAAGACAAAACUUGGAUCACUGUGAAUCUCCUCUCAAUAAUUUGGAUGACUGCACAUUUUGUACUGCAUGUAAGGAUAUCAGCAGGGAAUUAGUGAAAGUUGUACAAAACCUAUAUAAAACUAAAAGUUAUCUCUACAGAAAAUAUUGGAAAUACUAUUGAUGACUACUCUCAAAAUGGGCCCAUAGUAGUGCAGUUAUUUUUUCUCUUGAGUAUUCUAAGCCAUGCCCUAGGUUUGCCUAUAGCUUUAUGUUCUUGCUGUGGAGCCCUGAAAGGUUUUCCGGCAUUGAACAGUAGUCAGAGUCUAUGACAUGAGAGAUAUUAAAAAUAAUAAUAAUAAUAAAUCAUUUGUGCCUGAAACUUCCAGCAUUUAGGGUAGGAGAGGCAACUAAUCAAAGACAGAACCAAAAUGGUUUAUAAGAACAUCCAAAUUAGGAAUGCAGAAUUUUACUUUUGAGAUCAUCUGCAAAAUGACAAAGAUGUCCUUUACCUGCAUCAUUACCAGUAUUAAGCACCAGCUCACAGCUGAAGUACAUGUCAUAUCACUGAUACAUGCUUGUCAGAUGCCAUCGAAUAUAUUGAAUCUUACAGAAAAAAAAUGCAAAACUAUUAUAUGAUAACUGUAUUAUUAUAUGAUACAAAAGUAUGUGUUAGGAUUGCUGGUAUUGUAAAGAUUAAAUGAGAGAGUAAUCCAUUAACAUAACCUUUCAUGUAUCAUCUACCUUUAUUUAAAUCCAGAGUGGUUUAAGUUCUUAAGGGGGCAUCUUUUGGACUCAUUCAUUAAUGGUGAAAAUGACUAAUUUGUGUAUAGUCUAAUCAUGUUACUAUUUCAAGUUACUUUAAUUGCAGCACUUAGUAAGUUCGUGAAGCAGAAUUUCAUUCCAUCUGGUGAUUACUUAUUUACUUACAUUAAUCAUACAGUCAGAAAACAAGGAAUUAAAAAAAAAAAAAAGGAGCUACUGAAAACUUGAUUGAUCAUACUGGAGAAAUUAAUGUUAAUAAAUGUGUCCAUAUGGAACUUGAAAAUUUCAACACCCUUCAAGAAAUUAAUGUAGAAAACAAACAGGGAACUGCAAAUGCUGUGAUUUCCCUAAGAAACUUAAUUUUCCUACUAUUUGAACUAGCUAAUAUAUCAAAAGUAGACAAAUAUAAAAAAUAGCUAUUGAAGCUAUUUACAUUUUAUUAUUUUUUCAAUUCUUGUAUUGUAUAUACUUACUGAGUUUGCUUUCACUCUGCUGUGAAUCUCUGAGACAAGCUAGAUACUUGUGGGGACCUAUUAUGUUAGCUUAGGGAUAAAAACAGUGCUCCCACUUGGUCAUAUUAGGUCCUUCAGUAAACUAUUUUCAGGCUUGAACAGGUGCAUGACUGACCUGAGGAAGAGGUACGUUAAACAUUUUAGAAGUCUGUUACUUUCCAAGUCAUUAGUCCUAUUCUUCUGACGUCUCUAAAAUGCCCUAAAGCAAUCUACAGAUCAUUACCCUCUAACAGAUGACUUUUAGAAUUCUAUUCUCCAUCCACAACAAUUAUACAGAUGGACCUCUAUGUAGUGUAGUAUGACCAUCCUUGUCUGCUGUUUCAAACGUGGAAGCCAUUUUGUAUUCUUUAUAACUUGGUUGGUUGCUAAUAUAUCAAAAUCCAUAGUGAUUUAUACUGGCACAAAGUAUCUGUUUACAUCACAAGCAGCAGUUUUGCUGUACUGUUAUGGACGUUUAGACUACACAAAACAACAGGUUGCAAUGCUGUGCUUUCAGAGCUGCAGUGGUAUGUGAGUGGGCACAUGUGCACAGCAGAUCACUAGUUAUUGCAGCACAGGCAGCCUCUGCUUCUGCUAUAUAUUUUCACAACUGAUAGGCUUUUUUUUUUUUUUUUUUUUUGUUUGGAGGUUGUCAUAUGGUAUAACACUUUUACUAGUUGACUCCUCCUACUUUUCUUCAAACCACAUCCUGAUUUUUGGCCUCAGAAACCAAACAUAUGCACAGCUUGCAGAACAACACAUGAUAUUGUUUCUGUAUAACAUCAUACCAGCUGGGAUAUAAAUUCUUACAGACAAUUUUAUGCGAAUGAAAAAUACCUACAUUAAGACAUUUUCCAUAGCUAUGCAAUAUAUACCACAGUAGAGCAUAUGGUCUACAGUCAGAGAUCCUCACUUAUAACUAUAACAAAAGCCCCAAGUCAGCCUCAGAUCUUCAGACAGUGUAAUUUUUAAUAGAUCAUUCUAAUUUCUUUCUAUUUUUUUCAUACUUCUUCUAUUGUGUUUUGGAUUUCUGGAAUCUAACAUCAGCUAUUUUGCUGUAUCGUUGAAGACCCUUAAUCUUUUUGAUUUAUCCAGUGUGGAGCACCAUAAAGCUAUUAUUUAACUAAAAAGCAACAAAUAUUUGGUGAAACUCUAAGUUGUAUCAUAAUCUGAAGAUAUAUCAAUAGCAAGAACUUAGAAUUUGUAGGAAAUAUAUUUCAACAUUUAUUUUCACUAUUAGAAAACUGUUCUAUAUCUGAUUUGUCAGUUUUCCCCAGAUUUUUUUUUUGUGGGUGGAGUACUUAUUUUAUUCUCCUUUCAUGAUAAAUAAGAUUUGGAUAUAAAUAUUUAUCACAUGACCUACAAACUUUAACCAAGUCACUCCCAAUACUCUUUUUCGAUAAUCAGUUAAUCACAGUAAAUAAUUUUCUCCUGCUCUCCAGUUAUGCAACUUUUUAUUUCCUUCUACCGUAUCUGUUAAAAUAUGGACAGCAGAACUAUGGGAAAUAUUCCAACAGUUUCAUCAGGAUUGAAAGAUCACAUUAGCUCUGUUCAUGCAGUUUUGCAGUAGGUACUCAUGUUGAAUUGCUAGUCCACUAUGGCCCAUAAAUUCAUGCAGAGCUGAUGCAUUUUGAGGCAAUAUACCAUUGUUUUGAGGGGUGGAAUUCUUUUGUAUUGAUGCAUAAGCUUGUAUUCAUCUCUUCUAAAAUGCUCUUUAAUUUUUUUUAAAUUAUUAUUAUUUUUAAUGUUCCUAACUUGCCAAGAGAUCUCUUCUUUCCUGAGAUCAUCAUUAUGUACUACUCACGUGCCUUUCAUCCUUAACACGGUAAUUUCUAUAUGCACCUCCAAUGAGGUGACCUCAGAGCUCAAAAUAUUCUCAGCUUCAGAGCUGAGAAUACUGAGCAGCACUGGGCCUAGAGCUGAUCCCCGAUGAAUAACAUUAAAAAGAGUCAAUAACAAUUCUCAUUUUAAGGUAUAUUUUGAUCACCUGUUGACCAACUUUUAAUGAAUUGAAAUUAUGAAUAUUAAUGCAAUGUAGUAGAUUCUUUUUCUUAAUAAAAAUAUCAUAAAAUAAACUUUCAUUGUGCCUUUAUCAAUUAAACCAUCAGAAGAUGCAUAUCCCAAAGAUAGAUAAAAAAAUUAGUUGGCAAUGUAGAAAAGAAAACUCUAAGAAUUACUGUUCUUCAAUUUGCUCUGCACAUGUAACUUCAUUUCAUCUUUG